CGUUACACCCUCCAUUACCUGCGUCAUGCCUUGCACUAGCCAAGGAUUUAUGUUUCACUUGUAAUUUUCUUGGCAAGAAUUGGUAACGUAAUUAACUAAUUAUGUUAAAGAAAACGAUAUUUUUUUGUGUAGUUUGUUUCGUGUUUUUGGGCGAUGGGAGCCAUGCAAUGACUAAAUAUCCACAGCUUUAUAGAGAUUAUGUCUACCAUACUUUAAGUAAAAAUGGGCAAGAGAUGUUCUUCUCGAUUAACAUACAUCCAUUAUGCGCUGAUAAGAGAGGAGAGUGCAUACCACGCGGCAAAUGUGUGGGCAAGAAAAUUAUGUAUUUCACUCGGGUUUGCUACAGGCGCGACUUGGUCUGCUGCUACGAUGACACCGUCAAGAACCCGUUGGUAGCCUCACCUACCUAUAGUACUGUAACUGUCACACCUGUGGGUGAGAUAUAGCUACAUUCUAAAUGUAAUUUUUCUUACGAUAAAUGGGAAAAAUAAAACAUAUGUAUAAACA